UUUUAUCAGAGAGUUUGAUCCUGGCUCAGGAUGAACGCUGGCGGCGUGCUUAACACAUGCAAGUCGAACGGGAAUUACUUUAUUGAAACUUCGGUCGAUUUAAUUUAAUUCUAGUGGCGGACGGGUGAGUAACGCGUGGGUAACCUGCCUUGUACAGGGGGAUAACAGUCAGAAAUGGCUGCUAAUACCGCAUAAGCGCACAGGACCGCAUGGUCCGGUGUGAAAAACUCCGGUGGUAUAAGAUGGACCCGCGUUGGAUUAGCUUGUUGGCAGGGUAACGGCCUACCAAGGC
rnacentral:rRNA from 1 species